rnacentral:rRNA from 1 species
CCUACGGGACGCACCAGUGGGGAAUAUUGCACAAUGGGCGCAAGCCUGAUGCAGCCAUGCCGCGUGUAUGAAGAAGGCCUUCGGGGUGUAAAGUACUUUCAGCGGGGAGGAAGGUGUUGCGGUUAAUAACCGCAGCAAUGGACGUUACCCGCAGAAGAAGCACCGGCUAACUCCGUGCCAGCAGCCGCGGGAAUACGGAGGCUGCAAGCGUUAAUCGGAAUUACUGGGCGUAAAGCGCACGCAGGCGGUCUGUCAAGUCGGAUGUGAAAUCCCCGGGCUCAACCUGGGAACUGCAUUCGAAACUGGCAGGCUAGAGUCUUGUAGAGGGGGGUAGAAUUCCAGGUGUAGCGGUGAAAUGCGUAGAGAUCUGGAGGAAUACCGGUGGCGAAGGCGGCCCCCUGGACAAAGACUGACGCUCAGGUGCGAAAGCGUGGGGAGCAAACAGGAUUAGAUACCCGCGUAGUC